GAUGAACGCUGGCGGCGUGCCUAAUACAUGCAAGUCGAGCGAACGGACGAGAAGCUUGCUUCUCUGAUGUUAGCGGCGGACGGGUGAGUAACACGUGGAUAACCUACCUAUAAGACUGGGAUAACUUCGGGAAACCGGAGCUAAUACCGGAUAAUAUUUUGAACCGCAUGGUUCAAAAGUGAAAGACGGUCUUGCUGUCACUUAUAGAUGGAUCCGCGCUGCAUUAGCUAGUUGGUAAGGUAACGGCUUACCAAGGCAACGAUGCAUAGCCGACCUGAGAGGGUGAUCGGCCACACUGGAACUGAGACACGGUCCAGACUCCUACGGGAGGCAGCAGUAGGGAAUCUUCCGCAAUGGGCGAAAGCCUGACGGAGCAACGCCGCGUGAGUGAUGAAGGUCUUCGGAUCGUAAAACUCUGUUAUUAGGGAAGAACAUAUGUGUAAGUAACUGUGCACAUCUUGACGGUACCUAAUCAGAAAGCCACGGCUAACUACGUGCCAGCAGCCGCGGUAAUACGUAGGUGGCAAGCGUUAUCCGGAAUUAUUGGGCGUAAAGCGCGCGUAGGCGGUUUUUUAAGUCUGAUGUGAAAGCCCACGGCUCAACCGUGGAGGGUCAUUGGAAACUGGAAAACUUGAGUGCAGAAGAGGAAAGUGGAAUUCCAUGUGUAGCGGUGAAAUGCGCAGAGAUAUGGAGGAACACCAGUGGCGAAGGCGACUUUCUGGUCUGUAACUGACGCUGAUGUGCGAAAGCGUGGGGAUCAAACAGGAUUAGAUACCCUGGUAGUCCACGCCGUAAACGAUGAGUGCUAAGUGUUAGGGGGUUUCCGCCCCUUAGUGCUGCAGCUAACGCAUUAAGCACUCCGCCUGGGGAGUACGACCGCAAGGUUGAAACUCAAAGGAAUUGACGGGGACCCGCACAAGCGGUGGAGCAUGUGGUUUAAUUCGAAGCAACGCGAAGAACCUUACCAAAUCUUGACAUCCUUUGACAACUCUAGAGAUAGAGCCUUCCCCUUCGGGGGACAAAGUGACAGGUGGUGCAUGGUUGUCGUCAGCUCGUGUCGUGAGAUGUUGGGUUAAGUCCCGCAACGAGCGCAACCCUUAAGCUUAGUUGCCAUCAUUAAGUUGGGCACUCUAAGUUGACUGCCGGUGACAAACCGGAGGAAGGUGGGGAUGACGUCAAAUCAUCAUGCCCCUUAUGAUUUGGGCUACACACGUGCUACAAUGGACAAUACAAAGGGCAGCGAAACCGCGAGGUCAAGCAAAUCCCAUAAAGUUGUUCUCAGUUCGGACUGUAGUCUGCAACUCGACUACAUGAAGCUGGAAUCGCUAGUAAUCGUAGAUCAGCAUGCUACGGUGAAUACGUUCCCGGGUCU
rnacentral:rRNA from 1 species